rnacentral:rRNA from 1 species
GACGAACGCUGGCGGCGUGCUUAACACAUGCAAGUCGAACGGAAAGGCCCUGCUUUUGUGGGGUUCUCGAUUGGCGAACGGGUGAGUAACACGUGAGUAACCUGCCCUUGACUUUGGGAUAACUUCAGGAAACUGCGGCUAAUACCCGAUAUGAGCUCCUGCUGCAUGGUGGUGGUUGGAAAGUUUCGGCGGUUGGGUAUGGAGUCGCUGCUUAUCAGCUUGUUUGUGGGGUUGUGGCUUUCCAAGGCUUUGACGGGUAGCCGACCUGAGAGGGUGACCGGCGACAAUGGGACUGAGGGACGGACCAGAAGGCAACGGGAGGCAGCAGUGGGAAAUAUUGCAGAAUGGGCGGAAGCGAGAUGAAGAAAGGCGGGGUGCGGGAUGACGGCCUUCGGGUUGAAAACAGAUUUGGAAUGUGACGAAGCGUGAGUGACGGUAAUGGGUAAAGAAGCAACGGCUAACUACGUG